AUUGAACGCUGGCGGCAGGCCUAACACAUGCAAGUCGAACGAGUGGCGGACGGGUGAGUAAUGUCUGGGAAACUGCCUGAUGGAGGGGGAUAACUACUGGAAACGGUAGCUAAUACCGCAUACCAUCAGAUGUGCCCAGAUGGGAUUAGGUAGUUGGUGGGGUACCGGCUCACCAAGGCGACGAUCCCUAGCUGGUCUGAGAGGAUGACCAGCCACCCUGGAACUGAUACACAGUCCAGACGCCUACGGUAGGCAGCAGUGGAGAAUAUUGCACAAUGGGCGCAAUGCGGAUGCAGCCAUGCCGCGUGUAUGAAGAAGGCCGUCGGGUUGUAAAGUACUUUCAGUGGGGAGGCGUUACCCGCAGAAGAAGCACCGGCUAACUCCGUGCCAGCAGCCGCGGUAAUUC
rnacentral:rRNA from 1 species